GUAGUUUCUGCCGUGUGUAAAAUCUCGUGGCCGACUCACCCUUUUCAGUUGUUUGCUUUUUUUUUUUUUGGCUAAUCAAUCGAUGGAUGGGUAAUAAAUUAAACUUAAGAACCAUCUUGAAUUCAUUUCCAGACAAUUCAAAUGGCGUAGAUCAACUUUCAGACGAUGCAUCUCCAAAAGUGGGCGGUCCCAUCAUCAAAUUCUAGUGACCGAGAUUCAUAUAUCAAAAAAUAGGCCCUAGUCUUUAUCUUGGGAACUUGUACCCAACCCCGUCUUAAUUUUAACCAACCUGAGUCACACCUCAAGGGCCAGUUAGAAAAAAUUUGAAUUUAAAUAGUAUGCUUGCUGUCGAUUGUAUAAUAGUAGAACCAUCUCUUUUGGCCUUGUUGUUGAUUAUAUAACCUUAGAACCAUCUCUUUUGGUCUCACUUGUCCUUCAAUCUAAUGUUCUAAGUGGGUGUCUUCUUAUUUUAAGGGCAAUAAUUUUUCUCGUCUAAUUCUUUUAGCUGUUCACAGGGUGGAACUGUUUCAGCUAUGACUAUCAACAGGGGGAUUAUAUUGGGGUUUAUUCCUUCAGAUGAUUCUCAGGUUAUACUGCAGUCUGGACAGUUUAAAGGAGAAUUGAGAUUUAGGUGAAUGUGGUUGUGCAUCGAGGGGAAACAAACUCACACCUGAUCAAGUACAACACAGAUGUUACAUUUGUUACUGGUGAUCUUUUGUUUCACAUUCAGCAUUUUAAGUAUAAACUGAAGUUGUUCAAUAUUUGGAGGAAUUGUCAGUGCUACAAGUGGUUUUCACCUUCAUGAGAUUCCUACGUGUUACAAGUGGUUUUCACCUCCAUGAGAUUCCUACCUCUUCAUCUUGGUUGAUAUGUCCAUUUUGUCUCAAGAAUUUUCAUUUGUUGGUAGGAGACAAACUUUGGAUAAUACAACAUGACUUCUUAGAAAUGUUGAUCACUGUGAAGAAAAAAAAAUCACAAACCAAGCUUUCCCCAAAAAAUUUUCUGGCAAUCAUUAUGAGAAUAAGAGUCUGGAAGCCCAAGGUAACUAAUAGUCUAAAAUAGUCCAUUCAAUGCCUAUCCUUUGUGCAAGAGCCCUAAUACUUUGUAACUAGAAACUCAAUUACAG